rnacentral:rRNA from 1 species
AUUGAACGCUGGCGGCAGGCCUAACACAUGCAAGUCGAGCGAGCGGCGGACGGGUGAGUAAUGUAUGUGGACUGCCCGAUCGAGGGGGAUAACUCCUGGAAACGGUGUCUCAUACCCCCUACUGUCUGGUUACCCCUAUGGGAUUAUCUAGUAGGUAAGGUAAUGGCUUACCUAGGCGACGAUCCCUAGCUGGUCUGAGAGGGUGAUCAGCCACACGGGGACUGAGACACGGCCCAGACUCCUACGGAGGCAGCAGUGGGGAAUAUUGCACAAUGGGCGCAAGCCUGAUGCAGCCAUGCCGCGUGGAUGAAGAAGGCCCUAGGGUUGUAAAGUACUUUCAGUCGGGAGGCGUUACCGACAGAAGAAGCACCGGCUAACUCCGUGCCAGCAGCCGCGGUAAUUC